rnacentral:rRNA from 1 species
AUUGAACGCUGGCGGCAGGCCUAACACAUGCAAGUCGAACGGUAACAGGAAGCAGCUUGCUGCUUCGCUGACGAGUGGCGGACGGGUGAGUAAUGUCUGGGAAACUGCCUGAUGGAGGGGGAUAACUACUGGAAACGGUAGCUAAUACCGCAUAACGUCGCAAGACCAAAGAGGGGGAUCCUCGGGCCUCUUGCCAUCGGACGUGCCCAGAUGGGAUUAGCUUGUUGGUGGGGUAACGGCUCACCAAGGCGACGAUCCCUAGCUGGUCUGAGAGGAUGACCAGCCACACUGGAACUGAGACACGGUCCAGACUCCUACGGGAGGCAGCAGUGGGGAAUAUUGCACAAUGGGCGCAAGCCUGAUGCAGCCAUGCCGCGUGUAUGAAGAAGGCCUUCGGGUUGUAAAGUACUUUCAGCGGGGAGGAAGGGAGUAAAGUUAAUACCUUUGCUCAUUGACGUUACCCGCAGAAGAAGCACCGGCUAACUCCGUGCCAGCCGCCGCGGUAA